rnacentral:rRNA from 1 species
UACGUAGGUGGCAAGCGUUAUCCGGAAUUAUUGGGCGUAAAGCGAACGUAGGCGGUUUCUUAAGAUUGGUCUUAAAGACCGGGGCUCAACCCCGGGAAUGGAUCGAUAACUGGGAGACUGGAGGACGUCAGAGGAAAGUGGAAUUCCGAGUGUAGCGGUGAAAUGCGUAGAUAUUCGGAGGAACACCAGUGGCGAAAGCGACUUUCUGGGACGUUCCUGACGCUGAGGUUCGAAAGCUCGGGGAGCAAACAGG